rnacentral:rRNA from 1 species
AUGAACGCUAGCUACAGGCUUAACACAUGCAAGUCGAGGGGCAGCAUGAUUGAAGCUUGCUUCAAUCGAUGGCGACCGGCGCACGGGUGAGUAACACGUAUCCAACCUGCCGAUAACUCGGGGAUAGCCUUUCGAAAGAAAGAUUAAUACCCGAUAGCAUAGUUUUUCCGCAUGGUUUCACUAUUAAAGAAUUUCGGUUAUCGAUGGGGAUGCGUUCCAUUAGAUAGUUGGCGGGGUAACGGCCCACCAAGUCAACGAUGGAUAGGGGUUCUGAGAGGAAGGUCCCCCACAUUGGAACUGAGACACGGUCCAAACUCCUACGGGAGGCAGCAGUGAGGAAUAUUGGUCAAUGGACGAGAGUCUGAACCAGCCAAGUAGCGUGAAGGAUGACUGCCCUAUGGGUUGUAAACUUCUUUUAUACGGGAAUAAAGUGGAGUAUGCAUACUCCUUUGUAUGUACCGUAUGAAUAAGGAUCGGCUAACUCCGUGCCAGCAGCCGCGGUAAUACGGAGGAUCCGAGCGUUAUCCGGAUUUAUUGGGUUUAAAGGGAGCGUAGGCGGGUGCUUAAGUCAGUUGUGAAAGUUUGCGGCUCAACCGUAAAAUUGCAGUUGAUACUGGGCGCCUUGAGUGCAGCAUAGGUAGGCGGAAUUCGUGGUGUAGCGGUGAAAUGCUUAGAUAUCACGAAGAACUCCGAUUGCGAAGGCAGCUUACUGGACUGUAACUGACGCUGAUGCUCGAAAGUGUGGGUAUCAAACAGGAUUAGAUACCCUGGUAGUCCACACAGUAAACGAUGAAUACUCGCUGUUGGCGAUACACAGUCAGCGGCCAAGCGAAAGCAUUAAGUAUUCCACCUGGGGAGUACGCCGGCAACGGUGAAACUCAAAGGAAUUGACGGGGGCCCGCACAAGCGGAGGAACAUGUGGUUUAAUGCGAUGAUACGCGAGGAACCUUACCCGGGCUCAAACGCACGACGGCGGCACGUGAAAGCGUGCUUACCUACGGGACGUUGUGCGAGGUGCUGCAUGGUUGUCGUCAGCUCGUGCCGUGAGGUGUCGGCUUAAGUGCCAUAACGAGCGCAACCCUUAUCUAUAGUUACUAUCAGGUCAUGCUGAGGACUCUAUGGAGACUGCCGUCGUAAGAUGUGAGGAAGGUGGGGAUGACGUCAAAUCAGCACGGCCCUUACGUCCGGGGCUACACACGUGUUACAAUGGGGGGUACAGAAGGCAGCUACCUGGCGACUGGAUGCUAAUCCCUAAAACCUCUCUCAGUUCGGAUUGGAGUCUGCAACCCGACUCCAUGAAGCUGGAUUCGCUAGUAAUCGCGCAUCAGCCACGGCGCGGUGAAUACGUUCCCGGGCCUUGUACACACCGCCCGUCAAGCCAUGAAAGCCGGGGGUACCUGAAGUACGUAACCGCAAGGAGCGUCCUAGGGUAAAACUGGUGAUUGGGGCU